rnacentral:pre_miRNA from 1 species
CAUGCACCGGUGGGGUCCCUUGGCCUGGCCUGCACCCUCUUUCAAUCCAGGACCCUUGGGGGAUGUCAGAGAGCCAGUUUCAGCCUGAUCCCCGCAGGCCAGGCUGAGGGACCCCACCGGUGCAUG